rnacentral:rRNA from 1 species
UACGAAGGGGGCUAGCGUUGUUCGGAAUUACUGGGCGUAAAGCGCGCGCAGGCGGUUUUUCAAGUCAGUGGUGAAAGCCCGGAGCUCCAACUCCGGAACUGCCAUUGAAACUGUAAAACUUGAGGAUGAGAGAGGUGAGUGGAAUUCCCAGUGUAGAGGUGAAAUUCGUAGAUAUUGGGAAGAACACCGGUGGCGAAGGCGGCUCACUGGCUCAUUUCUGACGCUCAGGCGCGACAGCGUGGGAUCGAACAG